AAACGUCUUCAAGGUCGGGUGAAAUUCCCAAUCGGUGGUUACAGCCCACUACCCAAUGAAAAUUGGUUGAGAUGGUGAAAUCCCAUUGCCGACAGUAAAGUCUGGUAUAAAGAAGAUCAGU
rnacentral:ncRNA from 2 species